rnacentral:rRNA from 1 species
UACGUAGGGGGCAAGCGUUGUCCGGAAUCAUUGGGCGUAAAGCGCGCGUAGGCGGCCAGCUUAGUCCGGUGUGAAAGUCAGAGGCUCAACCUUUGAAUGCCGCUGGAAACUGUCUGGCUUGAGUCCGGAAGGGGCGAGUGGAAUUCCUGGUGUAGCGGUGAAAUGCGCAGAUAUCAGGAGGAACACCAAUGGCGAAGGCAGCUCGCUGGAACGGUACUGACGCUGAGGCGCGAAAGCGUGGGGAGCAAACAGG